CGGCUGUCGCAUUGGGGAACGAAUCACUGGACGGAGAAAAUGCCUUCCAUGUUGGAUAGUUACAGGAUUGUACAGAAAAUAUUGUAUAUGUUCAUUGCCGUCAUUGGAGUUCCUGAUAGAUUAUGAACUGGGAGCUAAGCACAUUACCUCAUCUGCAUACCAUCAAGAAUCGCAAGGAGCCUUGGAAAGGUUUCAUUCUACCCUCAAGACUGUGAUUAGGACAUAUUGUGUGGAAAAUGAAAACGAUUCGGAUGAGGGUUGCCACAAUGGAAGUAACACAAAAGAUUCCAAUUAAAAGAAAAUAAUAAUUUUUAAAGACCAUCAAGAUAGAAUAAACAUUAAUCAUGUGAAAAAUGAAACAAACAACAGCAUUCUGAACCAGAAUUGAACCAAAACAGAACCAAAUCCGAUUCGAACCCCGGAGCAGCCCGGAGUAGGCCCAAAGCCUCGCUUAUCCGUUCGUCACGCAGCGGGCAUGGAGCACAGCAGCACCGGCAGUCUUAUAUACUCAAAGCCAUGGCGAUCACUCGCGCGGAAAUGAGCGAAAAGGUCUGUCGUCCUGACCGAUAUCCCGCCUUUUAUGUCUAUGUGGGCCGGUGUUUCAAUUGGCCAACGUUGGUACAGCGAAAGUCUACGGCACAAUUUACCACAGGAGAGAGAAAAAAAAACCCUUUGUCCCUUUGUGGGGUCCAGGGAGUUGAUGUCGUUUUGAUUUAGAUCAAAAAACUUGCUGUCUGUUCCCGAGUAAAUACAAAUGCAAAAAAUAAAUAAUAAUAAUUUAAGAUCCCCCGUGUCUCUUUCG